AUUGAACGCUGGCGGCAGGCCUAACACAUGCAAGUCGAACGAGUGGCGGACGGGUGAGUAAUGUCUGGGAAACUGCCUGAUGGAGGGGUAUGACUACUGGAAACCGUAGCUACUACCGCAUACCAUCGUAUCUGCCCGGUUGGGAUUAGCUAGUAGGGGGGGUAAAGGCUCACCUAGGCGACGCUCCCUAGCUGGUCUGAGAGGAUGACCAGACACACUGGAACUGAGACACGGUCCAGAUUCCGAGGGGAGGCAGCGGGGGGGAAGAUUGAACAAUGGGUGCAAGCCUGAUGCAGCGAUGCCGCGUGUAUGAAGAGGGCCUUCGGGGUGUAAAGGACUUCAGCGGGGAGGCGUUACCCGCAGAAGAAGCACCGGCUAACUCCGUGCCAGCAGCCGCGGUAAUUC
rnacentral:rRNA from 1 species